rnacentral:rRNA from 1 species
AACCAAACGAAAGUUUGGCUAAUACCGCGUAAGCUCCAAGGAGGAAAGUAGGGGACCUAAAUAAGGCCUUACGCUAUUUGAUCGGCCGAUGUCGGAUUAGCUAGUUGGUGGGGUAAUGGCUCACCAAGGCAAUGAUCCGUAGCGGGUCUGAGAGGACGAUCCGCCACACUGGGAGUGAGACACGGCCCAG